AAAAAUAAUUUGAUGUUUGCAGAUUGACGCUACCUUUGAUGUUUGGGUUCUGCCUUCUAACAAAGACAGUGAAGUUGAGCUACCGGAAAUUGGUGGAAGUGAUCAAGCAAGCUCCUAUUUGUCUUGCUUUUUGCAAAAAAAAUGAAGGGAGAUUUACGUGAUAUAUGUAAAACCAGGAUCAGAAGCUGAUCUCGAUUCAGUAGUGCAGGAUACAAUAAGGUUAAUAGCCUCAACAAAGGACACAUGCUCGGAGUCAUGUGAGAAAUCAGCAAUUACAUGGCAAUGCGCUGACCAGACGAGGA